rnacentral:rRNA from 1 species
UACAGAGGUCCCGAGCGUUGUUCGGAUUCAUUGGGCGUAAAGGGUGCGUAGGCGGCGGGGUAAGUUUGAUGUGAAAUCCCGGGGCUCAACCCUGGAAUGGCAUUGAAUACUGCCUUGCUAGAGUACCGGAGAGAACUGGAAUUAGACGGUGUAGCAGUGAAAUGCGUAGAGAUCGUAAGGAAGACCAGUGCGAAGGCGAGUUCUGGACGGUAACUGACGCUGAGGCACGAAGCCAGGGGAGCAAAACGGGGAAUUGAGACGUACCCCUGUAAGUCCAGACAAUCCUCUGCUACCGAUAAC